rnacentral:tmRNA from 1 species
CACCUGGAACCUGGGCGCGCCAUGCGCUAUAUCAACGCCGUCGCGCGGGAGCGAUCCCGCAAGACUAUGGUGAUAAACACGGCUCGGGAUAAGCGUUGCGGACCCGGGGGCAGUGCCCGGCGCCUCCACCAGACACCGUUCUUGCGGCUUCCCUCCAGGGGAUUUGCCGCAGUGCGGCAAAUGGGGGCGAAACAGGCUCGACGCGCGUGGUAAUGGGGCCGCUUUUGCCCGGCAUGGUUCCGCCGUCAUCGGGCCAUCGAUAAGUGCGAACGAUAACGUCCGCGAGGACGUCGCACUCGCUGCCUGAAUAAGGUAAGCGCGGUUCGGGGGGCACCGGGCAACAGAAGCCCCCCACU